AGUUGCGAAGGCGGCUCUCUGGACUGUAACUGACGCUGAGGCACGAAAGCGUGGGGAGCAAACAGGAUUAGAUACCCUGGUAGUCCACGCUGUAAACGAUGAGUACUAGGUGUCGGGGGUUACCCCCUUCGGUGCCGCAGCUAACGCAUUAAGUACUCCGCCUGGGAAGUACGCUCGCAAGAGGGAAACUCAAAGGAAUUGACGGGGACCCGCACAAGUAGCGGAGCAUGUGGUUUAAUUCGAAGCAACGCGAAGAACCUUACCUAAGCUUGACAUCCCAAUGACAUCUCCUUAAUCGGAGAGUUCCUUUCGGGGACAUUGGUGACAGGUGGUGCAUGGUUGUCGUCAGCUCGUGUCGUGAGAUGUUGGGUUAAGUCCCGCAACGAGCGCAACCCUUGUCUUUAGUUGCCAUCAUUAAGUUGGGCACUCUAGAGAGACUGCCAGGGAUAACCUGGAGGAAGGUGGGGAUGACGUCAAAUCAUCAUGCCCCUUAUGCUUAGGGCUACACACGUGCUACAAUGGGUAGUACAGAGGGUUGCCAAGCCGUAAGGUGGAGCUAAUCCCUUAAAGCUACUCUCAGUUCGGAUUGUAGGCUGAAACUCGCCUACAUGAAGCUGGAGUUACUAGUAAUCGCAGAUCAGAAUGCUGCGGUGAAUGCGUUCCCGGGUCUUGUACACAC
rnacentral:rRNA from 1 species